UCCACGCCCUAAACGAUGUCAACUGGUUGUUGGGGAAGCAAUUCCUUAGUGACGAAGCUAACGCGAGAAGUUGACCGCCUGGGGAGUACGGUCGCAAGAUUAAAACUCAAAGGAAUUGACGGGGACCCGCACAAGCGGUGGAUUAUGUGGAUUAAUUCGAUGCAACGCGAAAAACCUUACCUACCCUUGACAUGUCCGGAAGUUUCCAGAGAUGGAUUCGUGCCCGAAAGGGAACCGGAACACAGGUGCUGCAUGGCUGUCGUCAGCUCGUGUCGUGAGAUGUUGGGUUAAGUCCCGCAACGAGCGCAACCCUUGUCAUUAA
rnacentral:rRNA from 1 species